rnacentral:rRNA from 1 species
AUUUUCAGUCAUAUCACCCUGAACAUACCAAAUCUGGUUGGAUCUCAGAAGCUAAGCAGGGUCAGACCUUAUAUGGAAAAAAUAGAAACGUGACUCUGAAACUU